rnacentral:rRNA from 1 species
CCCUUAGAUGUCCUGGGCUGCACGCGCGCUACACUGAUGUGUCCAGUAAGCACCUAACCUAUUCCGAGAGGAGCGGGUAACCUUAGCAAAGCACAUCGUGAUGGGGAUAGAUUAUUGCAAUUAUUAGUCUUGAACGAGGAAUUCCUAGUAAGCACAAGUCAUCAGCUUGUGUUGAUUACGUCCCUGCCCUUUGUACACACCGCCCGUCGCUCCUACCGAUUGAACGUUCCGGUGAGCUCUUCGGACUGCGCGGUCUGCAGUUUCUGCGUUCCGUGCGGAAAGUUGUGCAAACCUUAACAUUUAGAGGAAGGAGAAGUCGUAACA